GACGAACGCUGGCGGCGUGCUUAACACAUGCAAGUCGAACGGAAAGGCCCUGCUUUUGUGGGGUGCUCGAGUGGCGAACGGGUGAGUAACACGUGAGUAACCUGCCCUUGACUUUGGGAUAACUUCAGGAAACUGGGGCUAAUACCGGAUAGGAGCUCCUGCCGCAUGGUGGGGGUUGGAAAGUUUCGGCGGUUGGGGAUGGACUCGCGGCUUAUCAGCUUGUUGGUGGGGUAGUGGCUUACCAAGGCUUUGACGGGUAGCCGGCCUGAGAGGGUGACCGGCCACAUUGGGACUGAGAUACGGCCCAGACUCCUACGGGAGGCAGCAGUGGGGAAUAUUGCACAAUGGGCGGAAGCCUGAUGCGGCAACGCCGCGUGCGGGAUGACGGCCUUCGGGUUGUAAACCGCUUUCGCCUGUGACGAAGCGUGAGUGACGGUAAUGGGUAAAGAAGCACCGGCUAACUACGUGCCAGCAGCCGCGGUGAUACGUAGGGUGCGAGCGUUGUCCGGAUUUAUUGGGCGUAAAGGGCUCGUAGGUGGUUGAUCGCGUCGGAAGUGUAAUCUUGGGGCUUAACCCUGAGCGUGCUUUCGAUACGGGUUGACUUGAGGAAGGUAGGGGAGAAUGGAAUUCCUGGUGGAGCGGUGGAAUGCGCAGAUAUCAGGAGGAACACCAGUGGCGAAGGCGGUUCUCUGGGCCUUUCCUGACGCUGAGGAGCGAAAGCGUGGGGAGCGAACAGGCUUAGAUACCCUGGUAGUCCACGCUGUAAACGGUGGGUACUAGGUGUGGGGUCCAUUCCACGGGUUCCGUGCCGUAGCUAACGCUUUAAGUACCCCGCCUGGGGAGUACGGCCGCAAGGCUAAAACUCAAAGGAAUUGACGGGGCCCCGCACAAGCGGCGGAGCAUGCGGAUUAAUUCGAUGCAACGCGUAGAACCUUACCUGGGUUUGACAUGGAUCGGGAGCGCUCAGAGAUGGGUGUGCCUCUUUUGGGGUCGGUUCACAGGUGGUGCAUGGCUGUCGUCAGCUCGUGUCGUGAGAUGUUGGGUUAAGUCCCGCAACGAGCGCAACCCUUGUUCACUGUUGCCAGCACGUUAUGGUGGGGACUCAGUGGAGACCGCCGGGGUCAACUCGGAGGAAGGUGGGGAUGACGUCAAGUCAUCAUGCCCCUUAUGUCCAGGGCUUCACGCAUGCUACAAUGGCUGGUACAGAGAGUGGCGAGCCUGUGAGGGUGAGCGAAUCUCGGAAAGCCGGUCUCAGUUCGGAUUGGGGUCUGCAACUCGACCUCAUGAAGUCGGAGUCGCUAGUAAUCGCAGAUCAGCAACGCUGCGGUGAAUACGUUCCCGGG
rnacentral:rRNA from 1 species